CCAGACUCCUACGGGAGGCAGCAGUGAGGAAUAUUGGUCAAUGGCCGAGAGGCUGAACCAGCCAAGUCGCGUGAGGGAAGACGGCCCUACGGGUUGUAAACCUCUUUUGUCGGGGAGCAAAGCGAACCACGUGUGGUUCAUUGAGAGUACCCGAAGAAAAAGCAUCGGCUAACUCCGUGCCAGCAGCCGCGGUAAUACGGAGGAUGCGAGCGUUAUCCGGAUUUAUUGGGUUUAAAGGGUGCGCAGGCGGAGGUGCAAGUCAGCGGUCAAAUUGCGGGGCUCAACCCCGUACUGCCGUUGAAACUGGCUGUCUUGAGAUGUCGAGAGGUAUGCGGAAUGCGCAGUGUAGCGGUGAAAUGCUUAGAUAUUGCGCAGAACUCCGAUUGCGAAGGCAGCAUACCGGCGGCGAUCUGACGCUGAGGCACGAAAGCGUGGGUAUCGAACAGGAUUAGAUACCCCAGUA
rnacentral:rRNA from 1 species